CAAAAACGAAUCUUGGAAAGGAAGUGGUCCAAAUUCCUCAAAGGUGAGCCUUUGACUAAAUUGAUGAGUCUCUUUCAUAUCCUUUUGACUGAAAAUCCCGGAUUUAAGGCUAUUAAGAGGAAAUUGUCAGCAUUGGAACUUCACCACCAAGAACCACGAUACUACCCUCACUAUUCAAUUGAGUCCUACCCCUUUCUCCUUGCUAGAAACCGCCAUCCCACCCCACUGCCGCUGCAGGAGCUCCUCCCUCCACCACCAUAACCCAACCACCCAUCUAGUGCUCAAUCAUACCCACCCUCCAGUCACCUCUACUGUCUUCGUUUUGGUUUCAUUGUUAAAGAAAAAAAAAACAAGAUACCACCACCACUAAGGGUGGCCGAGAACCAUCUUCAUCUCAAUCAAGAACCAGCACCGGUGGUCUUGAACCACCGUGUUGCACCACCAGACACCAUCCAACCUCAUCCUACCUCCUACUCCCUCCCUCUCGACGAUCUGUUGUUCAUAAAAUGAAGAAGGGUACCAGAACUGCUAAGGGUUGCCACCCACGACCACUUACCACCGCCACCACCGGAGCCAUUGCCCCUGCUGCUUUUCAUUCACGAACUCGACUGUUUUGUGAUCACCACCAACUCCUCCUUCUUCCCUCGUGUCAUUCCCAACAAAUGUAAGCAAGGACGAAGUAGACUGGAGCAGCCCUCGCAACUGCGUUUGUAGACAACAAUUACCCAUCACCGCCGCUGCCAUUUACUUCCGAAGUCACCACCACCGACGACUUCACCACUGUUUCUGCAUUCGACCACCAUCGCCGCCUCCGCAAUUUAAUUUCCAUCAUCGAUGAUGCCGGCCAAGGCCAAGAGACCCAACGAGAAACCCAAUUUCCGUCUUAACGGCACCUGCAACUCGUCAAUUGCAAGAGACGGCUACUGUUCAAACUCCCACACAUUUUAUUUAAAUGUAAUUUAAAUACAACCGGUGAUUCGUUUUAAGAGCAAGGAGCGUCACGAAAUGACUUUCACGACAAGUUUCACCCUCGAGAUUCGUCCACGCUUCAAGGUUAGCAGAGAACCUGUAAACUCUCACCAACCUUGUGUUUACCCUCAAACGAGCUUUCAGUCAGAAGAUCAGUCAUGGAUUUCAGGCGACCUAGAUUUAUGUAGCUUUUGUUAAAUCGGCCUAUCUAUUAAGGCAACUUUAUGAAUUUCUUAUUAUGAACUUUGUAUUCAAACCUUAAAGAGUAAUGUAAUUGCUAUGUUGUUAUUGUUGUAACUUGUGAUGUAUAUUUAAUUUGCUAGUGAUCCAUGAACUAAGCCGCACAGCCCGGUGUAUUCCGCCGCCUCGGCCGGGGCGUGACAGAUUUGUAUCAGAGCUAAAUUGGCUAUAGAGAACUCGUAUCCUCGAAAGAGGAAAUACAACUAUAGCUACAGGCUCCUAAUAAAAGUAUUAUUAAUAAAUAUACUACUUCUCAACUGCUCACGAGAGAGGCAACUGGUUUGAAGGUCCGCUAGGGUUGCUGGAUUUCAAAACAGCUUAAUCGCCAUAAUGGUUAUGGCCCCCGGUGUUUCAUAUAUGACCCUCGUCUGUGAUUUGUAGUCUUGGAGUACAAACCAAAAUUUAAUAAUACUACAAACCUGACCAACAAUAAUUUAUAAGAGUUAUAUAUACUCUGGCCCGCGAUGAGAACACUUAAUAAAACUUCUGACUACCUUCAACUAAGGCUACUAACUCAGCCCUUUAGGUCCAAAGCCUCAACUAAGGUUGGUAGCGUACAUAGGUCAUACCAUAAAUAAAACUAGGAACGCGCGCCUUUGUUAUUUAUGGUUAGGCUGGUGAACAACCAACCUUGAGCGACAAGUUUGACAGACUACAAUGGUUGACAGUUUUAGAGAUUGAAGGAUGUUCUCAAGACUCGAUAGAGAUACCUAAUACCUAAACUCCUUGUAUCAACUCCCAGACAACAUAUACAUAAAAAAAUCAUAAAAAAACUUAAAUAUCUGGGAUGACGUCCGAAUUUCCUGAUAUACCUAAAUUCGAAGAAGAAUGAACAACCAAUAACUUUGUAAAAAAGAGAAGCCCAUAGUUCCUAGUAGAUCGUUCGGUAGCCUCCAAACUUCUAUCUCCCCUAUCUCCCAAAGAUGGCGAAGAUUCUUUCGAAGACGAACCAUUUAAAGAUCGAAGAUGAGAAAGCAGUUGAAGAAAACCUGAAAGGAAAGGGACUAACAGAUGAGGAGUUCACCAUCGAAAAGCCACCAAUGUACUACCUCUACUGAUUAAUUUCAGGUGGAUGCUCUAUAUGGACACUCCUAAGGAGAGGAUUCCACCUCAUCCCCAAUGUGAUACUUAUGCCUAAAGGAAGCAAAUGUCAUCACAAGAGUCAGAAUGAUUCACAAAUACUCUGAGAGAGAACUAAUAGUCUCAAGGAACAAGAAUAUGACAAGUUAUCAUUCCCCAAGUCCGUUCUCGCCUAUCGAAAAGUCUAUCAAUAAAGUUGUGUUUCUCCCAAUUGAACGAAGUGUUCGAAUUAAGCCAACAAAUCGAAUCUAUGAUAGACAACAUGAAUAUGUAGAAUACGUCACUCACACUCUAAGCCAAAGAGUCAACUCAAGAAAUAAGAAUAUGAUGAAAAUUGGAUUACCCGUAUACUAUUCCAUCAUAUCAAAGAAAGGUCAUUACCCAUGGUCACAAAAUAUAUACUGGAUUAUAGAGUCCAACUGACCUAAAGCAGACUAGGAAUCAAAUGAUUCUAACAAAUUAAAGGUUGCGUGAAACUCAUAAUCAGAUUGAGGAGCUAGCCAACCUACUAAUUGGAACUUUUAAAUAUCUAACAAGUUUAUCUAGGGCGAAUAGUACCCUUAGGUUAAGGUCAGGAAUCAUGGGAAAAUAGAUUAUAUGCAAACAUUUAUCCCUUCUAUGUCUCUCAGUGAAUGAAGCUUUUUCAUUACUAACCCUGCCCAUGUUUGGAAACUGAUGUAACAAGGUGUAACUAAAAUGAAAGUGUUUAUGCCAUCGAGUGUUUCAAAGGUCAUAAAUAUUAUCACUCCCCGCACUAUAAUUUGGAAAUCUAUGGGGUUUCAAGAAUCGAUCCCUAUUUCUCUAUCGUUUGGAAUCGGUAGGAUUUCAAUUCCCUCUUUAUCAUUUAAAUUGGCAGGAUUUCAACUCUCCCUCUAACAUUUGGAAACAUGUAGAGUUUCAGAAAUCGAUCCCUCUCUCUAUCAUUUUGAAAUUCGAAGGAUUUUAGGAACAAGUCACACUAACACACCGUCAUAUAAUACGACUUAUACAUGCUCGUUUAUAACUAAAUUGUUAUCGUUACAUUUCCAGUCAUCAAACUUCAUUCAUCUGUGCUAUUUGAUUAUGGUAUCGAUAGAAGCUUCAUUGACCAUGAGUUGAGAAGCAUGCUAAGCCAUAAAUCCUUCAAUGGCCAUGUAGAAGGCAUCUUAGAGAUACUUACCAAUUUCCUCCUCACCUUGAAUAACCAUGUCUCUCACGUCAACCUAAUACCCAUGACCAUUGGAAGUUUCGAUGAGAUUAUCGAAAUGGAUUGGUUAUCCCCACUAUGAGUCGAAGUUCUAUGCUAUGAGAAAGUCAUCCGAUUGCCCAUACCCAACGAAGAAAAUCUUGUGAUUUAUGGAGAUAAAUUAGGGAAGAAACUAAGAGCCAUUUCCUGCGUGAAGGGACUAAAGCGCUUACAAAAAAGAUGCUUCACUUUCUUGGCCCACGUGAUGGAUAUGCAAGGCAAGGGUAAGGAAAUAAAAGAUAUUCCAUAAGUGUGUGAUUGCCUGGACGUAUUCUCAGAGGAUCUACCUGGACUACCUCCAGUCAAGCAGGUGGAAUUCCAAAUCGACAUAAACCAGGGUGUAGCGCUAGUGGCAAUAUCUCCUUAUCACCUGGCACCAUCAGAAAUGCAAGAACUAUCCUGUCAACUCCAAGAACCAAUUGACAAAGGCUUUAUCUGGCCAUGCUUUUCACCUUGGGAGCUUUGGUGUUGCUUGUCAAAGAGAAGCAUGGAUCGUUCAGGAUAUGCAUCGACUAUCAAGAGUUGAACCAAUACCUACUGCUGAGGAUCGAUGACAUGUUCGACUAGUUGCAAGGACCCCACUACCACUCGAAGAUCGAAAUAAGAUCCUGAUAGUUAGUUUUUUUUACUUCUUUUUAUAGUUUAUUUUAGCAUAUUUCAUUCAUAAUUUAGAUAAUUUCCAUGCAUAUUUUCCUUAUUGUUAUUUUAUGACUAUUUCGGGUACUUUCGAAUCUUGUGAGCAUAAUUACAGGUUUUCGGGUCUAGCGGAGCGGGAGUGUUCGGGACGUAUGGGAAGCGAUGGGAUUUGGUAGACAAAAAGGAUGUUAGGCUUGGUGAUUGUGGAGAUGAUGCAUGGAGCGAGCUUGAUGAUUAUUUGAAGGCUUGGAGAGAAAUAAACUUUAAAUUUGCAAGAUGCGGGAGUUUAUUCAAGCGUGCGUAGAUUAUUAACCGGGCGAGUUUGGAGGAUUUGGAGAGGCCAAAUUGGGCUUAAAAUGAAGAAAAACUUGAAGAAAAUGGGCUAGGAGGUGAUUGGAUUCGAUCUGGGCUAGUGGGAUAUAUUUUGGAGGCCCAAAAACUCAAAGAAGCCCUUGUCAGGCACCACCCGCGCAGCAGCACGCGGGUCGCGCAAGGCCCUGCAAGAGCAUUUCUGGGAAUUCAUGUUUUAAGCUAUAUGGGGAAGGUUGGUUCCUAUAUUUUGCAUACACUUGGACAUCCUAUUUUUGUAGAUUCUCUCUGGAGUCUUGAAGACUUUUGAAGGCCAAGAACACCUCAAGAACAUCAUCUUUUUACCUCUUGAUUCUUGCUUAAUGUUUGGUACAAUCUUCUCUAACUUUGUUUCUUUGGGUUUAGCCAUGCUUGGCUAAACUAAUCUUGGUUGACUUUUGGUUAAUCCUUUGAACUUUUGUUGAAUGUUGAAGGAUCCAUGAACAUGUUCUCAA